rnacentral:lncRNA from 1 species
UGAUGAUGUAUCUACUUUUUGUUACAGUAGAUUUUAAAUUCUGUAUGUUCGCAUCAUAUUUAUUAUAGAGAGAAGCUAUUUAACUCCUUAGAGAGCAGUGAGAGCACUGUUCAUUUAUCGAAUAGAUCGAGCAUGCGAUCAAAGAUAUUGAGAUGAUCAGCUUACAGACACAUGAUGAAGCAGUGAGAAAAUUGGAUGAGGUCCGAUAUAUAUCUAAUUUUAGGAAUAAUCUAAUUCACUUAGCAAACUAGAUUCAAACAGCU